UCUUAGUCAAGUGGGGACUAAGAAGCAUUAAAUGGCUUCACCGUUCCUGGAAAGUCUAAAGGAAGCACCCUUGCUGCUGCCUAAGGAAGUCCUCUUGGCUAGUGGAGAGUGAAGUUAUAUUUAAUUCUUGGCACAGUUUAGAAAGUUACUUUCUUGCUGGACCAAAAUGGGAUCCGUGAAAACAAGAACAAGAACAUGUUGCAUCCGUGAAAACAAGAACAGUGGGACAAAACAGAAACCAAAAACCACUGAGACUUCCCUGAAAGAUCCUGAUCACAAGAUUUCAGAACAAAGAAGUUAUGACACAGUGUCUUCUUCCUGGGAAUUUACUAGAAACAUGUUUCUUCAGAAGCAGAAGAGAUUGUCAAAAAAUUGCCUUGGAAUUACCGUCAUGUCUUCACUAUAUAGAGGUAUCUCUGAAGAGCAUGUUUGGUAUGGAGGAGUAAGAAAGUAACAGACAGUAGCUGAUUCUUUAUAUUACUUGGAGCCUAAGAGACAUCAUGAAAAAUUUCUUUUAGGUCUGCAUUGACAAGUCAAUCCUAAGCCAAAAGAACAAAGCUGGAGGCAUCAUGCUACCUGACUUCUAACUAUACUACAAGGUUACAGUAACCAAAACAGCAUGGUACUGGUACCAAAACAGAGAUAUAGACCAAUGGAACAGAACAGAGGCCUCAGAAAUAAUACCACACAUCUACAACUACCUGAUCUUUCACAAACCUGGCAAAAACAAGAAAUGGGGAAAGGAUUCCCUAUUUAAUAAAUGGUGCUGGGGAAACUGGCUAGCCAUAUGUAGAAAGCUGAAACUGGAUCCCUUCCUUACACCGUAUACAAAAAUUAAUUCAAGAUAGAUUAAAGACUUAAAUGUUAGACCUAAAACCAUAAAAACCCUAGAAGAAAACCUAGG
rnacentral:lncRNA from 10 species